AACAAAGCCGUUUUGGGCCGGUUAAUUCAUUUUGUCUACAGUGAUUCUGCAGAGGUCUUUAAACUCUGACAUGAUUUAAUAUCUGGAAUUUACUUUACUACAUUUAUAACGCCUCGGAAUAGUUUAAAAGGCAACUUGAGCGUCAUGGUGGUAAACUCCAUCCACUGGUUCCGUAAAGGACUACGUCUCCAUGACAACCCCGCACUACUGGAGGCAGUGAAGGGGGCGGACACCCUGCGCUGCGUCUACUUCCUGGACCCGUGGUUCGCUGGGGCAUCAAACCUGGGCGUCAACAGAUGGAGGUUUCUGCUGCAGUCGUUGGAGGAUCUGGACUGCAGUCUUCAUAAACUCAACUCC